rnacentral:rRNA from 1 species
UACGUAGGGUGCAAGCGUUGUCCGGAAUUAUUGGGCGUAAAGAGCUCGUAGGCGGUCUGUCGCGUCGAAUGUGAAAACCUGCAGCUCAACUGCAGGCUUGCAUUCGAUACGGGCAGGCUCGAGUUCGGUAGGGGAGACUGGAAUUCCUGGUGUAGCGGUGAAAUGCGCAGAUAUCAGGAGGAACACCGGUGGCGAAGGCGGGUCUCUGGGCCGAUACUGACGCUGAGGAGCGAAAGCGUGGGGAGCGAACAGG